rnacentral:rRNA from 1 species
GAUGAACGCUGGCGGCGUGCCUAAUACAUGCAAGUCGAGCGAACGGACGAGAAGCUUGCUUCUCUGAUGUUAGCGGCGGACGGGUGAGUAACACGUGGAUAACCUACCUAUAAGACUGGGAUAACUUCGGGAAACCGUAGCUAAUACCGGAUAAUAUUUUGAACCGCAUGGUUCAAAAGUGAAAGACGGUCUUGCUGUCACUUAUAGAUUGAUCCGCGCUGCAUUAGCUAGUUGGUAAGGUAACGGCUUACCAAGGCAACGAUGCAUAGCCGACCUGAGAGGGUGAUCGGCCACACUGGAACUGAGACACGGUCCAGACUCCUACGGGAGGCAGCAGUAGGGAAUCUUCCGCAAUGAGCGAAAGCCUGACGGAGCAACGCCGCGUGAGUGAUGAAGGUCUUCGGAUCGUAAAACUCUGUUAUUAGGGAAGAAAAUAUGUGUAAGUAACUGUGCACAUCUUGACGGUACCUAAUCAGAAAGCCACGGCUAACUACGUG